rnacentral:rRNA from 1 species
AGGACGAACGCUGGCGGCGUGCUUAACACAUGCAAGUCGAGCGGAAAGGCCCUUCGGGGUACUCGAGCGGCGAACGGGUGAGUAACACGUGAGGAACCUGCCCCAGACUUUGGGAUAACCUUCGGAAACGGAGGCUAAUACCGGAUAUUACCUGUCAUCGCAUGGUGGUGGGUGAAAGUUUUUCGGUUUGGGAUGGUCUCGCGGCCUAUCAGCUUGUUGGUGGGGUAAUGGCCUACCAAGGCGACGACGGGUUA